GAUGAACGCUGUCUACAGGCUUAACACAUGCAAGUCGAGGGGAAACGACGGGGAAGCUUGCUUCCCCGGGCGUCGACCGGCGCACGGGUGAGUAACGCGUAUCCAACCUGCCUCUGACUGAGGGAUAACCCGUCGAAAGUCGGCCUAAUACCUCAUGGCAUCGUCUGCGGGCAUCCAACGACGAUUAAAGAUUUCAUCGGUCAGGGAUGGGGAUGCGUCUGAUUAGCUUGUUGGCGGGGUAACGGCCCACCAAGGCUACGAUCAGUAGGGGCUCUGAGAGGAAGGUCCCCCACAUUGGAACUGAGACACGGUCCAAACUCCUACGGGAGGCAGCAGUGAGGAAUAUUGGUCAAUGGGCGGGAGCCUGAACCAGCCAAGUAGCGUGCAGGAUGACGGCCCUAUGGGUUGUAAACUGCUUUUAUGCGGGGAUAAAGUGAGGGACGUGUCCUUCAUUGCAGGUACCGCAUGAAUAAGGACCGGCUAAUUCCGU
rnacentral:rRNA from 1 species